GAACGCACCUUGCGCUCCUUGGUAUUCCGAGGAGCAUGCCUGUUUGAGUGUCGUGAAAUUAUCAACUCCCUUUCUUUAUUGAAGGGUGAGCUUGGACUUGGGGAUUGCUGGUGCAAAUUGGCUUCCCUUGAAUGUAUUAGCUGGAAUUUGAUUCGCAGCAUAUAUGCGGUGUGAUAAUGUCGUCACUGUGUAGCUCGGAUUGUCUGGCUUCUAAUCGUCCUUCACGGGACAAUUUGAUCUUUUUGACCUCAAAUCAGGUAGGACUACCCGCUGAACUUAAGC
rnacentral:misc_RNA from 1 species